rnacentral:rRNA from 1 species
GACGAACGCUGGCGGCGUGCUUAACACAUGCAAGUCGAACGGAAAGGCCCUGCUUGCAGGGUACUCGAGUGGCGAACGGGUGAGUAACACGUGGGUGAUCUGCCCUGCACUUCGGGAUAAGCCUGGGAAACUGGGUCUAAUACUGGAUAGGAGCCAUUUUUAGUGUGAUGGUUGGAAAGUUUUUUCGGUGUAGGAUGAGCUCGCGGCCUAUCAGCUUGUUGGUGGGGUAAUGGCCUACCAAGGCGGCGACGGGUAGCCGGCCUGAGAGGGUGGACGGCCACAUUGGGACUGAGAUACGGCCCAGACUCCUACGGGAGGCAGCAGUGGGGAAUAUUGCACAAUGGGCGCAAGCCUGAUGCAGCGACGCCGCGUGGGGGAUGACGGCCUUCGGGUUGUAAACUCCUUUCGCUAGGGACGAAGCUUUUUGUGACGGUACCUAGAUAAGAAGCACCGGCUAACUACGUG